rnacentral:rRNA from 1 species
UACAGAGGGUGCGAGCGUUAAUCGGAAUUACUGGGCGUAAAGCGCGCGUAGGCGGCUUUGCAAGUCGGGUGUGAAAUCCCCAGGCUUAACCUGGGAACUGCAUUCGAGACUGCAUUGCUAGAGUAUGGGAGAGGGAAGUGGAAUUUCCGGUGUAGCGGUGAAAUGCGUAGAUAUCGGAAGGAACAUCAAUAACGAAAGCGACUUCCUGGACCAAUACUGACGCUCAUGUGCGAAAGCGUGGGGAGCAAACAGG